CAUGCACUACACCAUGGCCCGUACCUUAUGAGUACAUCAUGGAAGCCACAUUUCUCUUGCUGGAGAUUCAUUUCUUUUUGAGGAGGCCCGUUCGUUCCGCUGUUCCACUUCAUGUGAAGCAGCAUCCAGAAGAACGAGUUAUGAAGGAAAAAUCCCCGUCCCAAGUAGUCCUUGUUGCAGUGGAUCCAGGAUCCUCCGCUCCGGUUUCGGAAGCAAGUGACGCCUACACCAUUGCUGCAUCUCCCAUCUUUGGUUACCUGGGUUCUUCAACUAGAAAGUCCUCAAUUGAUGGUGACCUCAAGUUGCCUUUUAUCUCGGAUAAACUAGAAUCUAUCAAGAGCCUUCGGAGACAUCUUCCUGGUUCAGUUAGAGACGAGGACCUCUCGUUUCAGCAUAACGGAGGGUGCAGCGUAACGCAGACAGUCUUCAAUGGUAUUAACGCGCUCGCUGGUGUUGGCCUUCUUUCCACUCCGUUUACAAUCCAUGAAGCUGGAUGGUCUGGUCUUGCACUUCUGUCUUUUGUUGCAAUUAUUUGUUGUUAUACUGGAGUUCUUCUCAAGCAUUGCUUUGAGAGCAAAGAUGGCAUUACAAACUAUCCAGACAUUGGGGAGGCUGCCUUUGGAAGAAUUGGCCGUCUGUUCAUAUCUAUUAUUUUGUAUACCGAGUUAUAUUCUUAUUGUGUGGAAUUCAUUAUUUUGGAAGGUGAUAGUAUGACAUCAAUCUUUCCUGGCGUUAAUCUUAAUUUCUUAGGGAUUUAUGUUGACAGUAAACAUUUCUUUGGAGUGUUCACUACUCUUGUAAUCCUGCCCACAGUAUGGCUGCGAGAUCUUCGAGUUCUAUCAUACCUUUCAGCGGGCGGUAUUGUUGCAACUCUUGUAGUUUUUGUAUCUGUUGCUCUAGUCGGCACCACUGAAGGUGUAGGUUUCCAUCCGACUGGGGAAGCAGUGAGGUGGAGUGGUAUGCCCUUUGCUAUCGGUAUUUAUGGUUUUUGCUACUCUGGGCAUUCAGUGUUUCCAAAUAUCUACCAAUCAAUGUCUGAUCGCACAAAAUUCACCAAGGCACUUUUUAUAUGCUUCGCAAUUUGCACAGUAAUAUAUGGCUCAUUUGCUAUUAUGGGCUAUCUCAUGUUUGGUGACAAGACACUGUCACAAAUAACAUUGAAUCUUCCAAAAGAGUCAUUUGCCUCGAAAGUUGCUAUGUGGACCACGGUGAUCAACCCUUUCACUAAAUUUGCCUUAUUUUUAAACCCAUUGGCUCGGAGUUUAGAAGACUUGCGCCCUGAAGGAUUUUUGAAUGAAACAAUCUGCUCCGUUAUACUGAGGACUGCCCUUGUUGCGUCAACGGCUGUCAUUGCCUUUCUUUUUCCAUUCUUCGGUCUGAUGAUGGCUCUGAUUGGAUCCCUUCUUAGUACACUUGUGAUGGCAGAGGAACAAUUGUGUGCUCGUUUUAACUUCAUUGCCUGAUUACAGGCAGUCAUAAUGCCCGCCUUGUGCUUCCUGAAGAUCGCGCAGAAUAAAGCCACACGUCCUCAGGUGAUUGCGAGCGUCUCUAUAAUAGUGGUCGGAGUCGUCAGUGCCGCCCUCGGAACCUACUCCUCAGUGGCCCGCAUAAUCGGACACUAUUGAUUCUUUCAGGGCAAUUUAUUCUAUUUUGACAUCUCUCAGUGUUGUCACUCCCUUGCCAAUAAUGCUUUUGCUGUGUACCAUCGAAUUUUAGUGUGUUCCAUGUAAAUCCUUCGACCUAGUAUAGUCGAUUCAUAAAGACGGCAUCUCUAGCAACAAUUGUAGUGAUGUUACCGUUUAGCUGCUGCUAUAGCAUUUGGUUUACUAGACUUCUGCCAAGUGUUGUGGUUUAAAUAUUGCUAGCUGAUCCUCUAGUCGUGCGGCCCAAAUAGAUACAAUCAAGAUGGG